rnacentral:rRNA from 1 species
UUACACAUGCAAGUCGAGGGGUAUAGUUCUUCGGAGCUAGAGACCGGCGCACGGGUGCGUAACGCGUAUGCAAUCUACCUUUUACAGAGGGAUAGCCCAGAGAAAUUUGGAUUAAUACCUCAUAGUAUGUGAGAAUCGCAUGGUUUUCACAUUAAAGUCACAACGGUAAAAGAUGAGCAUGCGUCCCAUUAGCUAGAUGGUAAGGUAACGGCUUACCAUGGCAACGAUGGGUAGGGGUCCUGAGAGGGAGAUCCCCCACACUGGUACUGAGACACGGACCAGACUCCUACGGGAGGCAGCAGUGAGGAAUAUUGGACAAUGGGCGCAAGCCUGAUCCAGCCAUGCCGCGUGCAGGAUGACGGUCCUAUGGAUUGUAAACUGCUUUUGUACAGGAAGAAACACUCCCUCGUGAGGGAGCUUGACGGUACUGUAAGAAUAAGGAUCGGCUAACUCCGUGCCAGCAGCCGCGGUAAUACGGAGGAUCCAAGCGUUAUCCGGAAUCAUUGGGUUUAAAGGGUCCGUAGGCGGUUUAAUAAGUCAGUGGUGAAAGCCCAUCGCUCAACGGUGGAACGGCCAUUGAUACUGUUAAACUUGAAUUAUUAGGAAGUAACUAGAAUAUGUAGUGUAGCGGUGAAAUGCUUAGAGAUUACAUGGAAUACCAAUUGCGAAGGCAGGUUACUACUAAUGGAUUGACGCUGAUGGACGAAAGCGUGGGUAGCGAACAGGAUUAGAUACCCUGGUAGUCCACGCCGUAAACGAUGGAUACUAGCUGUUGGGAGCAAUCUCAGUGGCUAAGCGAAAGUGAUAAGUAUCCCACCUGGGGAGUACGUUCGCAAGAAUGAAACUCAAAGGAAUUGACGGGGGCCCGCACAAGCGGUGGAGCAUGUGGUUUAAUUCGAUGAUACGCGAGGAAUCUUACCAAGGCUUAAAUGUAGUUUGACUGAUUUGGAAACAGAUCUUUUGCA